GGGUGUGGUGGUGCACACCUAUCAUCCCAGCCACUCAGAAGACUGAGGCAAAAGGGGGUUCUGGGCUAUAGUGCCCUAUGCCAGUUGGGUGUCCACACUAACUUUGGCAUCAUUGUGAUGACUUCCCAGGAGCCAAGGACCACCAGGUCGCCUAAGGAGGGGUGAACUGGCCCAGGCUGAAAACAGAGCAGGUCAGAAUUCCUAUGCUUAUUAAUAAUGGGAUCACGCCUGUGAAUAGUCACUACACUUCAGCCUGGGCAACACAACAAGACCCCUU
ensembl:misc_RNA Metazoa_SRP Metazoan signal recognition particle RNA